UUUUGUAUGGAAAGAUUUUAUCGUAUUUCUGGUAUUCUAGGAUGGUUAGAUACUGCAGCCACGAGAAUCAUUGAAACUUACGUUGCCAACGUUACAGAUAGUGGACCCAGCAUAAAGACGUAUUACAUCACAGCGUUAUAUUUUACGUUUACGUCACUGAUGUCAACAGGAUUCGGAAACGUGUCACCAAAUACCAAUGGAAUUGACAUGGCGGUUUGUUUGUACAGACUUUCUAUGAAUCAAGUAGUGUACCGGUGAUGACAUUCGGGGAUUUCCGUGAGAUUACGUAAUUCUCCGUGUGUGAUAUCGGAAUCCUUCUGUCAUGAUAGGUAAAGAUGAUAUAUUUGGUGGUGACUGCAGUGACGUGGAAUGCUCGGGAAAAUCGUUCUAUUUUGUACGUGCCCUUAGUUACUGUGAUAUUGACAAGAUAGAGUUACACGUGCUGAAAGAAACAAUGGAUAUAUAACCAGAAUUUUCAAAAAGAAUUAAUGGGUAAAAUACAAGUGACAUUCAAUCUUAAGGUAAGUAUAAAGUAAUAUAAUCCAUCCUAGCAAUGAACAAGUCUCAAUUUCAAAAUUGUUCCGAACUUUAAGAAAAAGUUUUACAAUCUUUGUUUUACAUUCUAAAAUAAAUACGGUAUCACAGAUGUAACAAACGCACCAAUACUAUCAUCUUUACCUCUAUCAUAGAUAUUUUGUUUAAAAGAUAUUUUUGGAACUGCUUUGAUAUAUUGCACUUUACCUUUUCUAGACAAUUUCUGACAACUUUUUCACACGAUAAGGUCAUUGACGUAUAAAGGUGAGGCUAUGCCGAAUGAACAUAUACUCGCGUUUUAGUUGAUUAAGAGACAACGAGUGCUUCGCCUAAUUACAUUAGCAUUUUCGACUUGAUUUAUUAAAAACCAUAAGAUACUUUUCAUUCAUUCAAGAUGCUAAAUUGUGAUCUCUUUUGACAAAAGCUCGACGAAUGGGACCACAGAUCGGAGAAGAUGAGCCGACGUCUAGAGCAUUCGAAUUUUCUCCGCUAUCA